rnacentral:rRNA from 1 species
CAGCAGCCACGGUAAUACAGAGGGUGCGAGCGUUAAUCGGAUUUACUGGGCGUAAAGCGUGCGUAGGCGGCUUCUUAAGUCGGAUGUGAAAUCCCUGAGCUUAACUUAGGAAUUGCAUUCGAUACUGGGAAGCUAGAGUAUGGGAGAGGAUGGUAGAAUUCCAGGUGUAGCGGUGAAAUGCGUAGAGAUCUGGAGGAAUACCGAUGGCGAAGGCAGCCAUCUGGCAUAAUACUGACGCUGAGGUACGAAAGCAUGGGGAGCAAACAGGAUUAGAGACCCCCGUAGUCCCUGUCUCUUAUAC